rnacentral:tRNA from 1 species
ACGAUGAUGGUGUAGUGGCAACAUUUUAGAUUUCCAUUCUAAAGCCCCGGGUUCGAUUCCCGGUCAUCGUA